AUACGAAGGGGGCAAGCGUUGUUCGGAAUAACUGGGCGUAAAGCGCACGUAGGCGGAUUGAUCAGUUAGAGGUGAAAUCCCAGGGCUCAACCCUGGAACUGCCUUUAAUACUGUCAGUCUAGAGAUCGAGAGAGGUGAGUGGAAUUCCGAGUGUAGAGGUGAAAGUCGUAGAUAUUCGGAGGAACACCAGUGGCGAAGGCGGCUCACUGGCUCGAUACUGACGCUGAGGUGCGAAAGCGUGGGGAGCAAACAGGAUUAGAAACCCGAGUAGUCC
rnacentral:rRNA from 1 species